CGUAGGUGGCAAGCGUUGUCCGGAUUUAUUGGGUUUAAAGGGUGCGUAGGCGGCCCUGUAAGUCAGUGCUGAAAUAUCCCGGCUUAACCGGGAGGGUGGCAUUGAUACUGCAGGGCUUGAGUAAAGUUGAGGUAGGCGGAAUUGACGGUGUAGCGGUGAAAUGCUUAGAUAUCGUCAAGAACACCGAUAGUGUAGACAGCUUACUAAGCUUUAACUGACGCUGAGGCACGAAAGUGUGGGGGAUCAAACAGGAUUAGAUACCCUGGUAGUCCACACUGUAAACGUUGAAGACUCGCUGUUGGCGAUACACAGUCAGCGGCUGAGAGAAAUCGUUAAGUCUUCCACCUGGGGAGUACGCCGGCAACGGUG
rnacentral:rRNA from 1 species